UACGAAGGGGGGCUAGCGUUGCUCGGAAUCACUGGGCGUAAAGCGCACGUAGGCGCUUUCUAAGUCAGGGGUGAAAUCCUGGAGCUCAACUCCAGAACUGCCUUUGAUACUGGAAAGCUUGAGUUCGGGAGAGGUGAGUGGAACUGCGAGUGUAGAGGUGAAAUUCGUAGAUAUUCGCAAGAACACCAGUGGCGAAGGCGGCUCACUGGCCCGAUACUGACGCUGAGGCACGAAAGCGUGGGGAGCAAACAGG
rnacentral:rRNA from 1 species